UACGGGGGGGGGCAAGCGUUGUUCGGAAUUACUGGGCGUAAAGGGCUCGUAGGCGGCCAACUAAGUCAUACGUGAAAUCCCUCGGCUUAACCGGGGAACUGCGUCUGAUACUGGAUGGCUUGAGUUCGGGAGAGGGAUGCGGAAUUCCAGGUGUAGCGGUGAAAUGCGUAGAUAUCUGGAGGAAUACCGGUGGCGAAGGCGGCAUCCUGGACCGACAUUGACGCUGAGGAGCGAAAGCUAGGGGAGCAAACGGG
rnacentral:rRNA from 1 species